rnacentral:rRNA from 1 species
AGGGAAUCUUCCACAAUGGGUGCAAACCUGAUGGAGCAAUGCCGCGUGAAUGAAGAAGGUCUUCGGAUCGUAAAGUUCUGUUAUUAGAGAAGAACAAGUCAAGGAGUAACUGUCUUGACUUUGACGGUACCUAACCAGAAAGUCACGGCUAACUACGUGCCAGCAGCCGCGGUAAUACGUAGGUGACAAGCGUUGUCCGGAAUUAUUGGGCGUAAAGGGAGCGCAGGCGGUUGGAAUAGUCUGAUGUGAAAGCCCACGGCUUAACCGUGGAAGGUCAUUGGAAACUGUCCAACUUGAAUGCAGAAGAGGUAAGUGGAAUUCCAUGUGUAGCGGUGAAAUGCGUAGAUAUAUGGAGGAACACCAGUGGCGAAGGCGACUUACUGGUCUGUGAUUGACGCUGAGGCUCGAAAGCGUGGGUAGCGAAC